AUUGAACGCUAGCGGGAUGCUUUACACAUGCAAGUCGAACGGCAGCGCGGACUUCGGUCUGGCGGCGAGUGGCGAACGGGUGAGUAAUGUAUCGGAACGUGCCCAGUAGCGGGGGAUAACUACGCGAAAGCGUAGCUAAUACCGCAUACGCCCUACGGGGGAAAGCAGGGGAUCGUAAGACCUUGCACUAUUGGAGCGGCCGAUAUCGGAUUAGCUAGUUGGUGAGGUAACGGCUCACCAAGGCGACGAUCCGUAGCUGGUUUGAGAGGACGACCAGCCACACUGGGACUGAGACACGGCCCAUACUCCUACGGGAGGCAGCAGUGGGGAAUUUUGGACAAUGGGGGCAACCCUGAUCCAGCCAUCCCGCGUGUGCGAUGAAGGCCUUCGGGUUGUAAAGCACUUUUGGCAGGAAAGAAACGUCGCGGGCUAAUACCCCGUGGAACUGACGGUACCUGCAGAAUAAGCACCGGCUAACUACGUG
rnacentral:rRNA from 1 species